rnacentral:rRNA from 1 species
AGAGUUUGAUCCUGGCUCAGAACGAACGCUGGCGGCAUGGCUAAGACAUGCAAGUCGUACGAACCGUUUUUUGCUUGCAAUGAACGGUUAGUGGCGAAAGGGAGAGUAAUGCAUGGGUAACGUACCUUGGACUCCGGGAUAACGACGGGCUUCGGCCCUUUGCGAAAGUGUUGCUAAUACCGGAUGAGAUCACGGAUUCGCUUGUUUCAGUGAUCAAAGGCGGGGAUCUUCGGACCUGCCGGUCCAUGAGCGACCCAUGUUCUAUCAGCUUGUUGGUGAGGUAACGGCUCACCAAGGCAACGACGGAUAGCGGCGUGAGAGCGUGACCCGCCUCAUCGGGACUGAGACACUGCCCGGACACCUACGGGUGGCUGCGGUAACGAAUAUUGGGCAAUGGGCGAAAGCCUGACCCAGCAAUGCCGCGUGCAGGAGGAAGCCCCUCGGGGUGUAAACUGCUGUCAGGGUUCCGCAAGCAAAGAGGGUUAAUAGCCCUCCGCGUUGAGCAGACCCAAAGGAAGCCUCGGCUAACUCUGUGCCAGCAGCCGCGGUAAGACAGAGGAGGCAAGCGUUGUUCGGAAUUAUUGGGCUUAAAGCGGGUGUAGGCGGCUUGGUAAGUGUUCUGUGAAAUCCCACGGCUCAACCGUGGAACUGCAGAGCAAACUGCCUGGCUUGAGGUCGGUAGAGGUGCCUAGAACUCUCGGUGGAGCGGUGAAAUGCGUAGAUAUCGAGAGGAAUGCCUGAGGCGAAAGCGGGGCACUGGGCCGAUUCUGACGCUGAGACCCGAAAGCGUGGGGAGCAAACAGGAUUAGAUACCCUGGUAGUCCACGCCGUAAACGAUGCACACUAGGUGGUGAGACCUCUGACGGUAGCGCCGCCGAAGCAAAAGUGAUAAGUGUGCCGCCUGGGGAGUACGGCCGCAAGGCUAAAACUCAAAGGAAUUGACGGGGGCUCACACAAGCGGUGGAGCAUGUGGCUUAAUUCGAAACAACGCGAAGAACCUUACCCAGGUUUGACAUGCUUGGAUGCAAUUCCGGGAUAACCGGGAACGCUGCCCUUCGGGGUGAAACUUGCACAGGUGUUGCACGGCUGUCGUCAGCUCGUGCUGUGAAGUGUCGGGUUUAGUCCCUUAACGAGCGAAACCCCUGUCGUCAGUUGCCAACGCGUAAUGGCGGGGACUCUGGCGAGACUGCCGGCGUUAAGCCGGAGGAAGGUGGGGAUGACGUCAAGUCAUCGUGGCCCUUAUGCCUGGGGAUGCACACGUGCUACAAUGGUUGGGAUAAAGGGACGCAAUACCGCGAGGUGGAGCAAAUCCCAAAAACCCAGCCCCAGUUCGGAUUGUAGGCUGAAAUUCGCCUGCAUGAAGUCGGAAUCGCUAGUAAUCGCGUAUCAGCUACGACGCGGUGAAUGUGUUCCUGAGCCUUGUACACACCGCCCGUCAAGUCAUGGAAGCUGGUAGUACUCGAAGUCCGCUUAGCUAACCGUAAGGAAGCGGCGGCCGACGGUAAGACCGGUAACUGGGACUAAGUCGGAACAAGGUG